GAAUUGGUUUCCACUAAUAACUUAAAUCAUAAACAUAAUAAUGUUAAUUAACUAAUACAGGAUGAUAGUAACCCGGGCUGUUCAACAGCUCUCCCGUACGGUUGGCCGCCGUAACAUGGGUGGUGGUGGAGACAACUAUCCUGGAUCAAAUAUGCCAUUCUUCCCCAAAAGGUGGAAGUCUCCUCGACCUUACUUCUUAACUCUAGCAGCCACAGGAGCUUCUAUCCCCUUUUCCAUCUACUUCUUCUAUGAGUGGAAAAUGCGAAACGACAUUGGAUGGUAAAUGUGGACCUCUUAGCCCUGGAACGUUGUAAAUUAUUCAAAGACAUUGAAACUUCAUGGACUAAAUUAUGUAUUAUAGUUCUCACGCCUUUGCCUUUGUGCUCUUUUUACAUAACCCCAGUUUUGAUUAUUCUUAUAUCGACCCCCAGCCACCGUCGCGUUAGUCUUGUGAUAUACUACAAAAGCCAAUUGAGCAUUUGGUUAUUAGCUACAUAAAAGUGUAAUUCGAUUUGUAAUUGUAAUAUUUGGAUACCGUUUUGUUGAUUGUAAAUAUAAUACACAGAUGUGACAGUGAA